UGGAACUGAGACACGGUCCAGACUCCUACGGGAGGCAGCAGUGAGGAAUCUUCCACAAUGGGCGAAAGCCUGAUGGAGCAACGCCGCGUGCAGGAUGAAGGCCCUCGGGUCGUAAACUGCUUUUAUAAGUGAAGAAUAUGACGGUAACUUAUGAAUAAGCACCGGCUAACUACGUGCCAGCAGCCGCGGUCAUACGUAGGGUGCAAGCAUUAUCCGGAGUGACUGGGCGUAAAGAGUUGCGUAGGUGGUUUGUUAAGUAGGUAGUGAAAUCUGGCGGCUCAACCGUACAGGCUAUUACCUAAACUGGCAAACUCGAGAAUGGUAGAGGUAACUGGAAUUUCUUGUGUAGGAGUGAAAUCCGUAGAUAUAAGAAGGAACACCAAUGGCGUAGGCAGGUUACUGGACCAUUUCUGACACUGAGGCACGAAAGCGUGGGGAGCGAACGGGAUUAGAUACCCCGGUAGUCCACGCCGUAAACGAUGGAUACUAGCUGUUGGAGGUAUCGACCCCUCCAGUAGCGAAGCUAACGCGUUAAGUAUCCCGCCUGUGGAGUACGGUCGCAAGACUAAAACAUAAAGGAAUUGACGGGGACCCGCACAAGCGGUGGAUUGUGUUCUUUAAUUCGAUGAUAAACGAUGAACCUUACCAGGGCUUGACAUCCCGAGAAUUUUGCCGAAAGGCGAGAGUGCUUUAUUGAACUCGGUGACAGAUCUUGCAUGGCCGUCGUCAGCUCGUGUCGUGAGAUGUUUGGUUAAGUCCAUCAACGAGCGCAACCCUUGUGAAUAGUUGGAUUUUUCUAUUCAGACUGCCCCGGCAACGGGGAGGAAGGAGGGGAUGAUGUCAGGUCAGUAUUAGUCUUACGUCCUGGGCUAGAAACGCAAUACAAUGGCAAGUACAAUGCGCAGCGAAGCCGCGAGGUGGAGCAAAUCGCAUCAAAGCUUGUCCCAGUUCGGAUAAGAGGCUGAAACUCGCCUCUUUGAAGUCGGAAUCGCUAGUAAUCGCAGAUCAGCAAGCUGCGGUGAAUACGUUCCCGGGUCUUGUACACACCGCCCGUCAAACCAUGAAAGUGACCAACACCCGAAGUCCGAUUCGUCGGCCUAAGGUGGGGGGCAUGAUUGGGGUUAAGUCGUAACAAGGUAUCCGUACCGGAAGGUGCGGAUG
rnacentral:rRNA from 1 species